rnacentral:rRNA from 1 species
GUGAGGAAUAUUGGUCAAUGGGCGGGAGCCUGAACCAGCCAAGUCGCGUGAAGGAAGAAGGAUCUAUGGUUCGUAAACUUCUUUUGCAGGGGAAUAAAGUGCAGGACGUGUCCUGUUUUGUAUGUACCCUGAGAAUAAGGAUCGGCUAACUCCGUGCCAGCAGCCGCGGUAAUACGGAGGAUCCGAGCGUUAUCCGGAUUUAUUGGGUUUAAAGGGUGCGUAGGUGGUUUGAUAAGUCAGGGGUGAAAGUUUGCAGCUUAACUGUAAAAAUGCCGUUGAAACUGUCGGACUUGAGUGUAAAUGAGGUAGGCGGAAUGCGUGGUGUAGCGGUGAAAUGCAUAGAUAUCACGCAGAACUCCGAUUGCGAAGGCAGCUUACUAAGCUACAACUGACACUGAAGCACGAAAGCGUGGGGAUCAAACAGGAUUAGAUACCCGAGUAGUCC